rnacentral:rRNA from 1 species
UACGGGGGGGGCAAGCGUUGUUCGGAAUUACUGGGCGUAAAGGGCUCGUAGGCGGCCAACUAAGUCAGACGUGAAAUCCCUCGGCUUAACCGGGGAACUGCAUCUGAUACUGGAUGGCUUGAGUUCGGGAGAGGGAUGCGGAAUUCCAGGUGUAGCGGUGAAAUGCGUAGAUAUCUGGAGGAACACCGGUGGCGAAGGCGGCAUCCUGGACCGGCACUGACGCUGAGGAGCGAAAGCCAGGGGAGCAAACGGGG